rfam:Triticum aestivum genome assembly, contig: Triticum_aestivum_CS42_TGACv1_scaffold_158041_2DL
UCCGCGGCGUCUUUAGACGCCACCCUCUUUCUCUGCAGGGAAGAAG